rnacentral:lncRNA from 1 species
UAGUGUUGAGUUUCAUUGCAGGGACAAAAUGGUCCCAAGAAAAGAUGAAAGUCCAAAAGAUUAUUACAAAUGUAUGGGAUAUUUUUCAACCACUUCUUUUUGGUUUAGUUGGAGCAGAAGUAUCUGUUUCAUCGCUUGAAUCAAAUAUUGUUGGCUGUGUUAGGUCCUCUGGCUCUAGAAACAGCAAGAGUCUCUGCACCCCACUUGGAACCAUAUGCGAAGGAUGUGAUGUCAGUAGCAUUUUUAGCCAUCUCGAUCACAGCUCCAAAUGGAGCUCUACUUAUGGGCAUUCUGGGGCCUAAAAUGCUUACACGCCAUUAUGAUCCAAGCAAAAUAAAACUGCAAUUGUCAACAUUAGAACAUCAUUAAAAAGUUUACCUGUCAUCAUC